rnacentral:misc_RNA from 1 species
AACGCACAUUGCGCCCCUCGGUAUUCCGGGGGGCAUGCCUGUUCGAGCGUCAUUACUCCCCUCAAGCGUAGCUUGGUAUUGGGUCCUCGUCCCCGGGGCGUGCCCGAAAAGCAGUGGCGGCCCGGCGUGGAUUCAAGCGUAGUAAACGUAUCAACCGCUCUGAAGAAGCCUCGCGGCCGGCCAGCAACCGCCUAACUUUUGAAAAUCGACCUCGGAUCAGGUAGGGAUACCCGCUGAACUUAA